GACGAACGCUGGCGGCGUGCUUAACACAUGCAAGUCGAACGGUAAGGCCCUUUCGGGGGUACACGAGUGGCGCACGGGUGAGUAACACGUGGGUGAUCUGCCCUGCACUUUGGGAUAAGCCUGGGAAACUGGGUCUAAUACCGGAUAGGACUACGCGAUGCAUGUCGUGUGGUGGAAAGCUUUUGCGGUGUGGGAUGGGCCCGCGGCCUAUCAGCUUGUUGGUGGGGUGAUGGCCUACCAAGGCGACGACGGGUAGCCGGCCUGAGAGGGUGUCCGGCCACACUGGGACUGAGAUACGGCCCAGACUCCUACGGGAGGCAGCAGUGGGGAAUAUUGCACAAUGGGCGCAAGCCUGAUGCAGCGACGCCGCGUGGGGGAUGACGGCCUUCGGGUUGUAAACCACUUUCAGCACAGACGAAGCGUAAGUGACGGUAUGUGCAGAAGAAGCACCGGCCAACUACGUG
rnacentral:rRNA from 1 species